AGGAGGCAAACAUUCUCUAUCCACCUUAAAUAAACGUCUCUCCUGAGACAGAAGAUUUUUGUUUUAAUGGUUGCCAUGCUUAUUUUUGGAAAGGAUAUGCUUAUUCACCCAUUCUGUUGCCGAGAUUUGAUCAUUUCUGACAAAUGAACUGUUCUUGUUAUAAAAAUUAACGUACAGGAAAAGAAAUAUAAAGGUCAGAGAAAUGUUUCAGCUUUUGUGACAGAACGCUACGGAGGGGGUCACGUGACCGCCUAUAUCACGUGAUUCGCGCAUGAGCAGAACGUUGGUUGAUGUGCAUUAAAAUUGGAGAGGACUGAUUUAGAAUAUAAACAACACUGAAACCAAAUAUUGUUUCCUUUAUGGAAGUUAUUCAAUUAGUUCGCAAACUUUUUGAUCACCCCUUGUAUUUUGAAAACAUAAAAUACAAAUUUUGUGAAUGUGAGAGUAACCAGCACAAUUUUAUUUCGCUGCAAUUUUUAAGAGUUUACAACAAUAACUACAAUUGAUGAACAUUGAUAAACAAGAUGUGUUUGUGAAACACUGAUGCCCACUAUGGCAACAUAGCGAAGAUUAAACUUCUCUUAAAUGCAAAUUUUAUGAAAUAUGAAUGUAUGCCAAUGUUAAAGGUUUUUCAUAAGUAUGGAGAUCUACAAGUUCAGGGUCAAAAGGUCAAGGUAAUUGGUAUCUAAUGAAGGGUCUUGUCAAAAAGAUUACAUAUGUGAAGUGUGGAAGCACUAGCCCUUAGCGUUCAAAAGUUAUGGCUAAGGUUAAAAAAUUUCAAGAAGUUGGUCAAACUCCAAGGUCAAAGUGUCAAAGUACUUGAUAUCAAAUGAAAGUUCUUGCCACAAGGAUUAAAUAUGUAAAGUACAAAAGCACUAGCCCUAACCCUUUAACAGUUAUGGUCAAGGUUUGCUUUUUAAAGUACAUCAAACUCCAAGGUCAAGAUCAAAAGGUCAAAGUUCUUGGUAUCUAAUAAAGGGUCUUCUCACAAGGAUUACAUAUGUGAAGUAUGAAAGCACUAACCCUUAGCAUUCAAAAAUUAUGGCCAAGGUUAAACUUUUUUCAUAAGUACAGAAAUCUCCAAGGUCAAAAUUGUUGGUAUCAAAUGAAAGAUCUUUCCACAAAAAUUUUAUAUAUGAAGUAUAAAACUCCUGGUAUCUACUGUUCAAAAGAUAUGGCCAAAGUAAAAGUUUGAAGUUUUGUGUAAAAGUAGGUCAAACUCCAAGGUCAAGGUCAAAAGGUCAAAUUUGGGGGUACUCAAAGAAAGCUCUUGUCACAAGGAAUACACAUGUGAAAUAUGAAAGUCAUAGCUACACUAAAUCAAAAGUUAUGGGCAAGGUUAAAGUUUUUGCCUACAAACAGACAAACAGACAGACAGACAGAU